rnacentral:rRNA from 1 species
UGAGCAAUCUGCCCUUCUCAUCGGAAUAAGCGUUGGAAACGACGUCUAAUGCCGAAUACGACCUCCUUUCGCAUGAUCGGAGGUGGAAAGCUCCGGCGGAGAAGGAUGAGCUCGCGGCCUAUCAGCUAGUUGGUGUGGGUAGUGGCCCACCAAGGCGACGACGGGUAGCCGGCCUGAGAGGGUGACCGGCCACACUGGGACUGAGACACGGCCCAGACCUCCGUACGGGGAGCAG